rnacentral:lncRNA from 1 species
AAUCUGACUGAUCUGUCAAACUGGUUUUAGCAAAAUCAAAACAGCUGAUUUUGUUGCUGUCAGAAAACUUCCAAGUUUGAUUUUCUGAGGCCAAAAAAACGAUUAAAGAUCGAUUGGCCAAUUAUAAAGCGAACAGUUUGCUCAAUCUUUGCAAUGAACAAAAAGCAAAAGGAUGCGAUGGAUUUCCGGGACCACAGAGUCUGUCCCUGGAAGGCAAGUUCCAACCAUCCUCAACGAAACUAUUUAGGAAUUCAGGCGGAAUAUUUCAAAGCUGGUCCGAACCAGGAUGAUGCCUCCCAACAAAAUCAACUCGUCACCACCGUUCCCGGGUUGUUUGUGAAUCUCCGGCGCGCUUCCGUUCAAACGUCGCAAACAAUACGAGACAUUGAUGCAGUGUUGAAGACGCACAAAUUGAUUGAAUAAAACCGAAACAUUCC